rnacentral:tRNA from 1 species
GAGGAUAUAGCUCAGUGGCAGAGCACAUGCUUAGCAUGCACAAGGUUCUGGGUUCAAGCCCCAGGACCUCCA